CAGCCGCCACGGUAAUACGUAGGGUGCGAGCGUUAAUCGGAAUUACUGGGCGUAAAGCGUGCGCAGGCGGUUGUGUAAGACAGGUGUGAAAUCCCCGGGCUUAACCUGGGAACUGCGCUUGUGACUGCACAGCUAGAGUAUGGCAGAGGGGGGUGGAAUUCCACGUGUAACAGUGAAAUGCGUAGAGAUGUGGAGGAACACCGAUGGCGAAGGCAGCCCCCUGGGCCAAUACUGACGCUCAUGCACGAAAGCGUGGGGAGCGAACAGGAUUAGAUACCCGGGUAGUCCCUGUCUCUUAUAC
rnacentral:rRNA from 1 species